rnacentral:rRNA from 1 species
UGGUCAAGUUAUUAAGGGGGCAGGGCGGAUGCCUUGGCACUAGGAGCCGAUGAAGGACGUGAUAAGCUGCGAUAAGCUUCGGGGAGUUGCACGUAAACUUUGAUCCGAAGAUUUCCGAAUGAGGAAACUCACUUAGAGUAAUGUCUAAGUAUCAUUAAGUGAAUACAUAGCUUAAUGAGGGGAACUCAGGGAACU